UGGCGGCGUGCUUACACAUGCAAGUCGUACGAGAAACUCUUUANCUUGCUAAAGAUAGUAAAGUGGCGCACGGGUGAGUAACGCGUGGGUAAUCUACCUCCGAAUCGGGGAUAACCCGCCGAAAGGCGAGCUAAUACCGGAUAAUAUCUAUAAAACUUCGGUUUUAAAGAUCAAAGGUGGUCUCUACAUGUAAGCUACUGUUUGGAGAUGAGCCCGCGUACCAUUAGCUUGUUGGUAGGGUAAUGGCCUACCAAGGCUUCGAUGGUUAGCUGGUCUGAGAGGAUGAUCAGCCACACUGGAACUGACACACGGUCCAGACUCCUACGGGAGGCAGCAGUGAGGAAUUUUGCGCAAUGGGGGAAACCCUAACGCAGCAACGCCGCGUGAGUGAUGAAGGCUUUCGGGUCGUAAAGCUCUGUCAAGUGGGAAGAAAAUGCUUGAUGCUAAUACCAUCUUGCACUGACGGUACCACUGAAGGAAGCACCAGCUAACUCCGUGCCAGCAGCCGCGGUAAUACGGGGGGUGCAAGCGUUAUUCGGAAUUAUUGGGCGUAAAGGGCGCGUAGGCGGUCUCUUAAGUCAGAUGUGAAAGCCCGGGGCUUAACCCCGGAAGUGCAUUUGAAACUAAGGGACUUGAGUAUGGGAGAGGGAAGUGGAAUUCCUGGUGUAGAGGUGAAAUUCGUAGAUAUCAGGAGGAACACCGGUGGCGAAGGCGACUUCCUGGACCAAUACUGACGCUGAGGCGCGAAGGCGUGGGGAGC
rnacentral:rRNA from 1 species